AGAAGUAGGAAUUUUCUGGACAAACAGAAAUAUGAGGAUCAUUAAAGUCGUGAACCAUUCGACACAACUGUUGUGGCGUCAUGGACGUGUGUUCCCAGUAGUAAUAGUUAAGUUCCUCUGAAACGAGAAGAGUGGACAGCUCAUUAUUUUUCAUGUAGAGAGGAGGGCUCCAAAUGGAUGCCAUCACGUGGAUAUCUGGAUAUUUGGCAAUUUCGUGAUGAAUGUCAAUGUAGGAACAAAUUGUAUUCGGAGGAGAUUCACACUUUAUUUCAUAAACGUCUCUUGAGGGAGAAAAUUUUGACUCGUAGGAGGUUCUGUAAUAACUGUUGUACAACAUAAUAUGUAUGUACAUACGUAUUUAGAAAUAAUAUAUAUAGUUAUUUUAGUUUACAUACUUAUAACAGAUAUGGUUGAAUCUUACCGAAUUUCAAGGUCAUUAUAUGUCUUAUCAAAUACUUGUUGGACCAUUGAAGGUAACGAUUGUGAAAAAUGACCCAUUGCUCCUAAAUGUACCCCGAAACCCUCGAACAAUUCGUCACACCCAUCGGACAUUGUAUAAACAGAACACAAUAAUACCACAAUGAAUUGGAUUGGCGUCCCCAUUUUAUUAGUAUUAUAUAAAUAACUCCAGUAGAAGUAUAAAACUGCAAUUAAAACCAAAGGACAAUUGAAAGUAGAAAGUCAGUCUGCAAAUAGUCUUGUCCCGUGGUCUUAAUUGGUUUAUAUGUAUGCAUUUAUUGUGAUUGCGAAAGGAUUUUUUCCCAACUUUGGAAACUCAAUAGUUAAUUGCUUGCUAUCUAAAACUUGACAGUUUCAAGUGGAGUAAAAUCAAUUAUGUAAAUUAA